rnacentral:rRNA from 1 species
ACUACGGGAGGCAGCAGUGGGGAAUAUUGCACAAUGGGGGAAACCCUGAUGCAGCGACGCCGCGUGAGUGAAGAAGUAUUUCGGUAUGUAAAGCUCUAUCAGCAGGGAAGAAAAUGACGGUACCUGAUUAAGAAGCCCCGGCUAACUACGGGCCAGCAGCCGCGUUAAUACGUAGGGGGCAAGCGUUAUCCGGAUUUACUGGGUGUAAAGGGAGCGUAGACGGCAGAACAAGUCUGGAGUGAAAUGCCGGGGCUUAACCCCGGAACUGCUUUGGAAACUGUGCAGCUAGAGUGCAGGAGAGGUAAGUGGAAUUCCUAGUGGAGCGGUGAAAUGCGUAGAUAUUAGGAGGAACACCAGUGGCGAAGGCGGCUUACUGGACUGUAACUGACGUUGAGGCUCGAAAGCGUGGGGAGCAAACAGGAUUAGAUACCCGUGUAGUC